UCCAAUAUCAGAUGGAAAUGAUGCGGAGCCUUCGUCAUGUAAACAUUGAUCAUCUUCAUGUGGGCUGGUACCAGUCCACAUACUAUGGCUCAUUUGUCACCCGAGCGCUCCUGGACUCUCAGUUCAGUUACCAGCAUGCCAUUGAAGAAUCUGUCGUUCUCAUUUAUGAUCCCAUAAAAACUGCCCAAGGGUCUCUCUCACUAAAGGCAUACAGACUGACUCCUAAACUGAUGGAAGUUUGUAAAGAGAAGGAUUUUUCCCCUGAAGCAUUGAAAAAAGCAAAUAUCACCUUUGAGUACAUGUUUGAAGAAGUGCCGAUUGUAAUUAAAAAUUCACAUCUGAUUAAUGUCUUAAUGUGGGAACUUGAAAAGAAGUCAGCUGUAGCAGAUAAACAUGAAUUGCUCAGUCUUGCCAGCAGCAAUCAUUUGGGGAAGAAUCUACAGUUGUUGAUGGACAGAGUGGAUGAAAUGAGCCAGGAUAUAGUUAAAUACAACACAUACAUGAGGAAUACUAGUAAACAGCAGCAGCAGAAACAUCAGUAUCAGCAGCGUCGCCAGCAGGAGAAUAUGCAGCGCCAGAGCCGAGGAGAACCCCCGCUCCCUGAGGAGGACCUGUCCAAACUCUUCAAACCGCCACAGCCCCCUGCCAGGAUGGACUCGCUGCUCAUUGCAGGCCAGAUAAACACUUACUGCCAGAACAUCAAGGAGUUCACUGCCCAAAACUUAGGCAAGCUCUUCAUGGCCCAGGCUCUUCAAGAAUACAACAACUAAGAAAAGGAAGUUUCCAGAAAAGAAGUUAACAUGAACUCUUGAAAUCACACCAGGGCAGCUCUUGGAAGAAAUAUAUAUGCAUAUUGAAAAGCACAGAGGAUUUCUUUAGUGUCAUUGCCGAUUUUGGCUAUAACACUGUCUUUCUAGCCAUAAUAAAAUAAAACAAAAUCUUGAAAAAAAAAAAAAAAAAAAAAAA